rnacentral:rRNA from 1 species
GCGUGGGGAGCGAACAGGAUUAGAUACCCUGGUAGUCCACGCCGUAAACGGUGGGCACUAGUUGUGGGAACCUUCCACGGUUUCUGCGACGCAGCUAACGCAUUAAGUGCCCCGCCUGGGGAGUACGAUCGCAAGAUUAAAACUCAAAGGAAUUGACGGGGCCCCGCACAAGCAGCGGAGCAUGCGGCUUAAUUCGACGCAACGCGAAGAACCUUACCAAGGCUUGACAUAUACGGAAAAGUGGCAGAGAUGUCAUGUCCGCAAGGGCUCUAUACAGGUGGUGCAUGGUUGUCGUCAGCUCGUGUCGUGAGAUGUUGGGUUAAGUCCCGCAACGAGCGCAACCCUCGUUCUGUGUUGCCAGCAUUUAGUUGGGGACUCACAGGAGACUGCCGGGGUUAACUCGGAGGAAGGUGGGGAUGACGUCAAAUCAUCAUGCCCCUUAUGUCUUGGGCUGCACGCAUGCUACAAUGGCUGGUACAGAGGGCUGCAAUACCGUAAGGUGGAGCGAAUCCCAAAAAGCCGGUCUCAGUUCGGAUUGAGGUCUGCAACUCGACCUCAUGAAGUCGGAGUUGCUAGUAAUCGUAGAUCAGCAACGCUACGGUGAAUACGUUCCCGGGGCUUGUACACACCGCCCGUCACGUCACGAAAGUCGGUAACACCC